rnacentral:rRNA from 1 species
UACGUAGGGGGCGAGCGUUGUCCGGAAUUAUUGGGCGUAAAGGGCUCGUAGGUGGCCAACUAAGUCAGACGUGAAAUCCCCAGGCUUAACCUGGGAACUGCGUCUGAUACUGGAUGGCUUGAAUUCGGGAGAGGGAUGCAGAAUUCCAGGUGUAGCGGUGAAAUGCGUAGAUAUCUGGAGGAAUACCGGUGGCGAAGGCGGCAUCCUGGACCGAGAUUGACACUGAUGAGCGAAAGCCAGGGGAGCAAACGGG